GUUUUCCCAAAUCUUUGGGCUUCCUUAGCCCUGUAAGUGGAUCAAACAGCUGGGGAGUUUUCUUUUUUAAUUUUUAUUUUUAUCACAGAUCAUCUACCAUGAGCAAUUUCUCUGGAAGUUGAUGUGUCAAUGACUAUCUCAUCUUUGUUGAAGUGAAGUUUUUGGUCCUGAAGCUGGCUGACUCUCAGCUUCCUGGACAGGCCCUUUUCUGGGCACACCGGGACAUUGGGCAUUUGUUGGAGUUUUCCAAUGUCUGUAGCUCCAGGUGUUCAGCAAGAGGCAUGGCACUGUGAAGUCACCAUAGUGUUUACGGAGAAGCACAAUAGGGGGCACCCUCCAUAAAUCUGGUUGAGGGAAAAGCAUUACAAGUUGGAUGAAAUAAGAAUACAAGAAACAGUAUUUGUAGAGUGUAUAUGACUGUGUGUCAAGUGAAGGGAAGACAGAAGAAAUGCUGUAAGUUACUAAGAGGGAGAAAUGACUAAGGACUGCAGUUGUCAUGGCAGGCUUCCUGAAGGUGGUGGAUGUGGGCUGAUGUCUGAAGAAAGUUACCAUUUACUGAGAUCUCACAGUGAGCCAGGCCCUGUUCUAAAUAUUAAUGUGGAUAUUUUGUUUAAGUCUCAUCAUUUUUCAAGAGUGAACACUUCAGUGGUCUGUAGUCCCUCAGUUGCACUGGACACAGUUGAGGCCCUCAGGAGCCACGCGGGGUCAGCGGUGGUGGCAUUGGGCAGAGCAGAGAGGGUAAACUGACAGAUGGGAAACUGAGGCCUGGAGAGAUUUCGUCUCCUGCUCAACAUUGUCACAACUUGUCAGAGAUGGAGCCUGAGCAAAAUCCCAGGUCUGCCUGAUUCUGAAGCCUGGACUUUUACAGAACACUGCCUCUGACCAUGGCUAUGCUGGCAUUCAGCAAGUAGGAACAUCAGGAGCACUGAGGCUGUCACUAAUGGUCCUGUCCCAGCCCCUCCACUGUGAAGCUGAGACCUUUCACAGGAACCAAAAAGGGAUUGAUGCUGUGGAGAUGGGACACUGAUACUCGCAGGUAUGCACACUGCUGGGCAGGUCCACAUGACCGAUACGUGCCAGAAGCCAACUGGAACAAAGCUGUGAAAUGGGAGCAUUUCUGAGAAAGAGAAUAGCAGCCCCUCCCUGGUGCCAGCCCAGCCCACACAGCUGGGCCUGGCAUUCUCCCUAACACAACACAUCGCUGAAGAGCAACACCAGACAAGCCACUCAUGACCCAAUGCAGCAAGACAGACAGACACCGGGUGACUGUGUCUGGACACAGAAAACAUGCCAUGGUCUAGCCACCAAUCACAGACACUGGGUGACCGUGUCUGGACACAUAUGGGACACACCUCGGCCCAACCACCGAACGAUUCCCUGUUAUGCCUACUAGGAAUGACAGCUGCUUCUUUACCUGCAUUUUCUUUAAGCACCUGUGCCAGGUGGUUUCACUCCUGAGCCUCCAGCAUGGUGUGUCAGGAAUACUUCUG
rnacentral:lncRNA from 10 species